rnacentral:rRNA from 1 species
AAUAGAUACCCUGGUAGUCCACGCCGUAAACGGUGGGCACUAGAUGUGGGGCUCUUUCCAUGAGUUCCGCGUCGCAGCUAACGCAUUAAGUGCCCCCGCCUGGGGAGUACGGCCGCAAGGCUAAAACUCAAAGGAAUUGACGGGGGCCCGCACAAGCGGCGGAGCAUGCGGAUUAAUUCGAUGCAACGCGAAGAACCUUACCAAGGCUUGACAUAUACGGUCUAUCCCUACGAGAUAGGGUAGGUGCUUCGGCGCCGUAUACAGGUGGUGCAUGGUUGUCGUCAGCUCGUGUCGUGAGAUGUUGGGUUAAGUCCCGCAACGAGCGCAACCCUCGUUCUAUGUUGCCAGCACGUAAUGGUGGGGACUCAUAGGAGACUGCCGGGGUCGAACUCGGAGGAAGGUGGGGAUGACGUCAAAUCAUCAUGCCCCUUAUGUCUUGGGCUUCACGCAUGCUACAAUGGCCGGUACAAAGGGCUGCAAUACCGUAGGUGGAGCGAAUCCCAAAAGCCGGUCUCAGUUCGGA